rnacentral:rRNA from 1 species
UACGUAGGGUCCGAGUGUUGUCCGGAAUUAUUGGGCGUAAAGGGCUCGUAGGCGGUUUGUUGCGUCGGGAGUGAAAACUUACAGCUUAACUGUGAGCGUGCUUCCGAUACGGGCAGACUUGAGGUAUUCAGGGGAGAACGGAAUUCCUGGUGUAGCGGUGAAAUGCGCAGAUAUCAGGAGGAACACCGAUGGCGAAGGCAGCCUUCUGGGCCAACACUGACGCUCAUGCACGAAAGCGUGGGGAGCAAACAGG